UACGUAGGGGGCAAGCGUUGUCCGGAAUCGUUGGGCGUAAAGAGCGCGUAGGCGGCUCGUUAAGUGAGAAGUGAAAGCUGUGGGCUCAACCCAUAAACCGCUUUUCAUACUGGCGAGCUGGAGUGAUGCAGAGGUGGAUAGAAUUCCCGGUGUAGCGGUGAAAUGCGUUGAUAUCGGGAGGAAUACCCGUGGCGAAGGCGGUCCACUGGGCAUCAACUGACGCUGAGGCGCGAAAGCGUGGGUAGCAAACAGG
rnacentral:rRNA from 1 species